UACAUGUUGCAAUCGACAAACCGGAGGUGUUAAACAGCUCUGAAAAAUUUGCAUGAGGACAAAAGUAUUUGUAAAGUCAAUAGCAAGAUUUUUAAGGUGUGCAGGGGGUUUGGUUUAAGUCACCGAUGAUCUAAUUCCCAACAAAGUCUGGACCUUUUCAAACUUGCAUGACUGAUGCAUAUGUCGUUACAUAAUAAAAGUCAUGUUAUGGAUAAUGUGACCUACAUUAACUGGAUGUGACAGGUUAUUUUUAGCAUUUGCAUUCACAUCUAUGAGACACACCUAAUCGAACUGUGCACGGAUAAUGCAUACUAGCGAUUACAGUUUGGACUGCGUGAUGCAUUAAGUGUAAAGAGGGCUCAUUUUCAAGUAUCUGUCCGCACCUAUCCAAAGUAAAUAUAUAGGGAUGGUGUAUCUCACGUUUUAUUGUACAUGUAGAUGAUGAAUGUGACUUGUUACCAGUUUAAAGACUGAAUGCUAAUAGAGCUGGUUCUCAUACUUUAUUCUUUCUUCGGAAAAAAUAUAUGUGGCCUAUACUUAAAUUUAAAAAAGAGGUAAUUUUAUCAUUCAAUAAUUGUUAGUAAUAAAUUUCAUUUGAAAAAAAUAUGAAUCUGAGGAUGUACAUUACAACUUAAUGAGCAUAGUUUUUUUUUUUACAAAGAAGCUCAUAUCCUUCCAUUAAUUAGUUUAUAAAGAGUUAUCUGUAAUUAUUUUUUAUAUAGUUGAAGCUUCCUGAUUAAAACUUUUUUGUACAUAAAUUUACGUAGCUUCUUGUUAUAGGUUCGCAUAAAAUUGUCCCAUUAGGAUUCAUAUCUAUGUGAUAGUUGGGCUAUUAUCCAUGUGAUCGAUUUCAGGUAAUAUGAGAGAGAGUUUAUUUUGAAGAUUAUCCUUAUAGUUGAAAUGUCAGAGUAUAAAAAGUUUUGUUGUAAAAUACAAAAGGAUUAACCACGGGCACCUGAUUUUAUUAAUUUUUUAUGAUUAAAAUAUAUACCGUCAACUAAAUAAUACAUAAUGUACACAUCACCGCCAUCUUGGUAUUAUUUAAAAUUGUCUAAUCACCCGGAAUAUUUGCUUGAAACUCGUCUGUAAAAUUAUUAUACGAUCUUCUCCGUCUUCCAAUCGGUGCUUCAACACCCACGCGUACAACCGAUUAAACCAAAAACGGUGCAUUACAGCUGUCUUAAAUAAAAAUCACCAUUGUAUUGGCAUCUACUGCCUUACAUAUGCGCCGAAGGUCUACAGGGAGGAGAGAAGUUGUCAACUUUAUGUAAAUGAGAUUUCCUUGCACCGUGUGGUUGUGUCAGUAUUUCAAAAUACAUGCAUUUAUAAACAUGUUUACAUUAAAAUUUGGUUAAUGAAAGAUUUAUUUGACAGUAUAUAUUAUCCACUUUAAUCGGUUUAACAUGUAUUGUGAUUGAAUUCAAAAUCGAUGCCUUUUCGAUAUUAUUAUUUUUAUUAUAAAUAUUAUAAAAUUGUAUAGCGCAAAAUAUAAUAAAAAAUUACUCUAAGGCGCUUUACAUAAAAUAAUGAUGUACAAUAACAUUAAUUGGUUAAAAUAGACAAUUUCUAGGCAUAGAACAUGAUUAAAAUAGAUUUAGUAGUGAUAAGAGUUACAUUACUUUAAAAUGUAAAAUCAGGAGUCCUGUAAACAGAUAUCAAUAAAAUGGAUUACCGUGUCAAUUAUAAAAAAGCUAAUUUGAACAGAUAAGUGUUAAGUGAUUUUUUAAAACCGCACAGAUGUUGUUCGUGCCUUAGAUCUGGCGGGAGACCUAACGUCAAACCGCCUAUCACCAUAUUGUAUUGUGCGGACACGAGGUUGGACUUGAACUUUCGGACAGCAAUGUCCGCAUAGGAACAUAUAAUUUUGCAAGGUCCUGUAUGUAUGAUGGUGACGUCCUGUGAAGCGCCUUAGAAAAUAGUCACAAGUAAUUCAUACUGGAUUCGAAAUUCCACCGGCAGCCAAUGAAGAGACAUAGGCACAGGGGUUAUAUGAUCAUGCUUCUUUGUCCUUGUUAUAAUCCUGGCCGCCGUAUUUUGAAUACUCUGCAGUCUUGACAGGGAACUGCAGAUAAGUCAAUAUUACACGAAGUAUGAAGCAAUAAUGUCAACUUUCGUCCUACUUUAGCCUAUCUUCGCAUACCUAAGACAGUAGAUGUCAAUCAAGGGGUGAUUUUAAAUAAAGGACAGGUUUAAUGCAUCGUUUUGACUGAAUUGGUUGUAAGCUUAGAUGUUGAGGAAUGAUCAGAAGACGAAGAUGAUCGCAAAAUGAUUUUACUGAUGAGUUUCAAGCAAAAUUCUAGCUGAGAUGAGUUUUAAAUAAAUACACCCAAGAUGGGGGCGAUAUGUACCUUGUGUAUUAUUAGUUAGAGGAUGUAUAUAUUGAUUAUGAGAAAAAUAUAUAUAACAUCAGGUGCCUGUGAAAAUAACUUAUUAGAUAUAAACAUUGUUAAAAUUUUG
rnacentral:sRNA from 1 species